rnacentral:tRNA from 1 species
GGGCACAUGGUCUAGUGGUAUGAUACUCCCUUCGCAUAUUCUGGGUUGCAAUAAUACACAGAUACACAUCGUGAUUGGGAGGGGUCCGGGGUUCAAUUCCCUGUGUGUCCA